rnacentral:rRNA from 1 species
GACGAACGCUGGCGGCGUGCUUAAUACAUGCAAGUCGAACGGAAAGACCCUGCUUUUGUGGGGUUCUCGAGUGCCGCACGGGUGAGUAACACGUGUGUAACCUGCCCUUAACUUUGGGAUAACUUCAGGAAACUGGGGCUAUUAUCGGAUAGGAUCUCCUGCUGCAUGGUGGGGGUUGGAAAGUUCCGGCGGUUGGGGCUGGACUCGCGGCUUAUCAGCUUGUUAGUGUGGUAGUGGCUUACGAAGGCUUAGAAGGGUAGGCGGCAUGAGAGGGUGACCGGCGACAUUGGGACUGCGAUACGGCGCAGACGGGUACGGGCGGCAGUAGGGGGAAGUAUGACGGAACAGCGCGAAGUCAGAGACAACGACGUUGGGAGCGGAAUACCGGGUUAUGAGGUAAAAACAGCUGUGGAAGUUGACGAGGAGUGAGUGACGGUAAUGGGUAAGGAAGCACCGGCUAACUACGUG